UAAAAACAUGCUGACUUUCACCCACUCUCGGGGCGCUUGCUCGUGGGGCAGCCAGCACCAGGUUGUGAGCACACUGGGGCAGCUGACGGCCAGGUCCUUGCCGGGAGGUCCGAGCCAGGACUUUUGAAAGUGGACAGGCCACAUGUUCACGUCCUCAGAACGAACGCAGCACAGGAAAU
rnacentral:lncRNA from 1 species